CCUCCCAGAGCAGCAGCCAGACAAGGACAGCCGGGGUUUCUCAGGCACCCCCAGGCCAUGAGGCUCCACAGGAGCCCUCUGGCUUGUGGGUAAAGGAAAGCCCUGUUUAUUGGUUUGCAGCAGUUGGCAAACUGACAUUUAAAAAAGGAAGUGAAUUGUGAGGUGGGGAUUUUAAUUCAGGGAAAUAUUUGAAGAACUCAGUGUUUGCUCAGAGAGGUCAUUAAAUAGGUUUUGUUCCCACACCCUCUGGAAAAAUGAUGCUUCAUUAAAAUGGCAACACGAGGUGUAGUGAAAAUGGUGAAACUAGGAACGCUGAAAAGACACAUUCACUAGAUUCCACUUAAAAUGUAAAAGGAGUGUAAAGAAAACAAAUGGACAUUUUCCUGAGGCAGCUGAGCGAUACAAAACACAGGCAUCUUUGUCUCCUUCUUGAAAACUUCCACAAUGCGUUCUCCUUUCUUUCUCUCCACUAAUCUGUACUUCCAAGAGGUGUUGAGUUUCGGCCAAACUUUCUGCUCGGCUCGCAUCAAAGGCUGCCCUCUUGUGAAUAGCCAGCUCUCACCUAAUGAUCUCCCUGCUCACUCCUGACCAGGAUGCAGGUCAUUCCCCAGAAUAAUUAGCUCACAGGCAGAGUUUCCAGGCGCUUCCAGGAGCAUCAAUCACCGGGAUGAAUGGGAAGCCCGUGUGUGGGAACUGCAGGGGGAGCUGCGUGCAGAGCCACCCCAGCCUUGUCACCCUACGGCUAUCCUUGCCAUGCUUCCUUGGACCCCCAUCUACCCCCAGUUUUGGGUGACAGGACGAGUUGGGCCAGUUACCAGGAUCUUGUCGCCUGGUUCUGAUCGUGUCUUGGUUUCCGGCUGGGGUUUUGUGUUUACCACGACCAUUGCCUGCUGUCGGGGAGCUGCAUGUGUUUCACAACAAACAGGGAACCAGGGAGACCACCCUGCGGGGCUGCCCCUUCCCUCAGAGCUUUCUGCUUUGGUCGCUGGCGUCUUGCGGUGCCUUCAUUCCUCUGUGGUGUGAGGUGCUAGUCCAGGCUUAGGCGCUAACAGUGAAUGAGAAGGAGAAUACGCUCUGCGAGUGCAGCGGAAGGAGAAAGUCCUGAGCCACGGAAAUUCGGUAAGGAUCGGAUAAUGGCAAUGAAAUCACAGCUCUAAAUCUUUUCAUGGAGUUGAAGACAGACAUUUUACUGUGGGAGCCAUCUCAUCUUUAUCUGCCUGAGUUGAAGCUGGUAAAGAGGCCAAGAAUUCCCAAGCUUUCCCAGGCAAGUGGGGAAGAACACUGGGACGCCUUUUCCUCCUCCUCUGUCCAUCUGCAGGCCAAGUGUGCAUCGGUCACAGGCAAACUCUGAAUCGAGCUUUGUGCAAGUCUCUGGAAAGAGACCCAAGAUCGUGUGAGGAGCAAAAGUGACUGUGCUGGUGGCAGCGACAUCUGCAGAGCCAGCCCCAUCCCUGUCUGCAGCAGAAUACGUAUGGGAAUCCUUUGUGUGAGCAAUCCACCCAGGGUAGAAUGGGGCUUUUGACAUCAGCUGAGACCCAGGCUGCCUUACAAUGAGAGGCCUGUUGGUCAAAGGAAGGACUAUUUAAUGAACUGAGAAUCUGAGGCCAGCUCUGGCCAUCUGCACUUAGAAUCAUUAGAGCAACUCUACUGUAACUGGCAACAUUGAAUAAUGCAACAAAUUCAUAUUUCAAAAUUGUGAACUUUAAAAUUUUGUGCUUGUGUCUAUGAUGAAAAGCAUUAUAUAAACAUUUGAUACUACCAUUUUAUUAGUAAGGAAGCCUGAAACAGUGUCUCUCUUUUGACUCUGAGGUCAAUAAUGAUAAUGGCUUUUCACCUACACUGGGAUAGAAAUGUUCUGUCAAGGAUAUGAAAGCACUUUAUGAGGAUGAAAUUCAUUAAAGCCCUUAAUAAUCAGGUAGGGAAGACAGGUGCUCACAAUUGUCACCACUUGAUGAGUGAACACACCGAGGCUCGGGGAGGACAAUGACUCAGGAACAAGGUCGAAUCGCAGGUAGGGGGUGAAGCUGAUCCCUAACAGCAUCCUCCAGCCCCCAGCGCUGAGGAAGGACAUGGAGGGCCUGCAUCGACUUUUCCUGGCAGGCUUGUGAUUCCCAGCCAGAAUGCAGGUGGCAAUGUUAUGAUUCCUGGCAUAACCUUCAAUGCUUCAAUGAUAAUCUCUGCCAGUGCCAGGCACCAGCUGAGUGUCACUGUGCAACUCCCAGGCUUAAGUGAUGCAUGCCGAGGUUUUCAGAGCAGUCUCUCAUUUAUUAGUUGUGUUGGAAAGAAAUCUCUACUACCUAACUGGGUACCUCUGGAUUUUAACAGCUGUGGUUUAUAAGAGAUUUGAGAGGGGGUUUGUUUUCAAAGUGCCUUUCACAAAGUAACACCUUAGAUUGUAGUUUACAUUCCAUUCCAGUAGGAUAACUUGCAACACUUCUGUGCUCAGAAAUCCAACUGUGCAAGAAAAGUCAGGUUAUAUUUUCAAACAGCCCAUUUUGGCAAAUAUGCCUUCACACCACUUUCCCUCCUCCUCACCGCUAUUGGCAAUAGUCCCAAUGGAAGAGUUUUAUGUCAAAUGUUGAGUAUCUUGGAAGCUGUCCUGCACAGACACGACUGCUUGGUUGUGUGUUGGAGAGUCGUGGUUGGACUGGGAGACCAGGAAGGUCCCUUCUAGCCUGAGAUGUUAUGACUCUAGAACUAAUCAGUUUCAACUCAUAACAUGAAAUGCUACUAGCUACCAUUUGGUAGGCUUUUUCUGUGUUCCACGCUCUAUGCUAAAAUCUUAACAUUACUCUAAUUACAAAAUCCCUGCCAAUAUUAACCUCAUUUGACACAAGAACAAAGGGGUUUAGGGAAAUCAAAAACUUGUCCAAUGACACAGAUUUAAGAUUUAGCAACUGAUGGCCACAUGGAAAUGGAUUACAGAUUAUUCUAAUUUGACGCUCUAAACCCACAAUUUAACCAGAAUGAAAUUUAGGGCUGCGUGCUGUGGCUCAUGCCUGUAAUCCUAACACUUUGGGAAGCCAGGUGUAUCCCUUAAGCCCAGGAGCUUGAGAGCAACUUGGGCAACAUGGUGAAACCUGUAUCUACAAAAAACACAAAAAUUAGACAGGUGUGGUGGUGUAUGCCUGUAGUUCCAGCUACUCGGGAGUCUGAGAGAAGGGAGGAUCACUUGAGCCUAGGAGGUUGAGGCUGCUGCAAGCUGUGAUGGUGCCACUGCACUCCAGUCUGGGCAAUAGAGGCAGACCCCAUCUCAAAAAAAAAAAAAAAAAAAAAAAGGAAAAAAAAAAUGUAGGUACCUUGUGAUUGCCCUUCUCUGAGAUUAGCUCAUGGCUCCAGCUCUCAGGGUGGCGAGUAAUGAUUCUGUGGUCAGAUGCAGUUUUGAAGUCAGGCAAGAAAACCUUCAACAAGAGCUAGAGAUGUCCUGUCUAUGAAUUUCUCCUCUAGGCUUAGGGAUAGCCCUGGGAUUCCUGUCAUGCCAGUUAGAGAUCCACUCAUGGUAAGCAAUACAAAUGCCCCGGAAGAGACAGUGCAUUAAUUGUCACCCGUUAGCAGCAUUGUGUGAAUUAGUGUGAUUUAACACAUGCCCAGAGGGAUGAAACUCCAGCUCCAUAGGGUAGGUCCUGAUGACUCCCGGAGCGGGCAGCCAGCUCAGCUCAUGGGGAGCUCUGAGAAGUCUCUCAAUGCCUCGCAUGCAGCCCCUGCUCAGGGGUCAUGUGUCACGUCACAGUCUUGCUUUCCAGUGGGUCAAAGCAUGAUGUUUAUGAGAAACAAAUACUCAAAAUUCUGACUUGUGCAAAUACAGAACACAUGCAACAAAACGACCGCAAUCUAUUUUUAACAUGUGGUCUGAGAAGUCAGCUUUAAUAUGACUAUGUCAUAUAUAAAUAAUAUAUUUUCCACAAAAGGAAAAUGUAAAUAAUAAAA